UUCUUAUCGUGAGAGGUGGAGGGACUGGCCCUUAGAAACCUCAGCAACCGGCUUGUUUUGCAUUUGCAAAGCGCCAAGGUGCUAAAUCCAGCAAGCGUUUUUUAUGCUUGGAAGAUAAGAA
rnacentral:ncRNA from 16 species